rnacentral:rRNA from 1 species
UCCAGAAGUGGCUGCRCCRACCCGCAAGGGAGGCAGGUCCCCAAGGAGUGGCUGGUGACUGGGGUGAAGUCGUAACAAGGUAGCYGUAGGUGAACCUGCAGAAGGAUCA